CAGUAGCCGCGGUAAUACGUAGGGUGCAAGCGUUAAUCGGAGUUACUGGGCGUAAAGCGUGCGCAGGCGGUUAUAUAAGACAGAUGUGAAAUCCCCGGGCUCAACCUGGGAACUGCAUUUGUGACUGUAUAGCUAGAGUACGGCAGAGGGGGAUGGAAUUCCGCGUGUAGCAGUGAAAUGCGUAGAUAUGCGGAGGAACACCGAUGGCGAAGGCAAUCCCCUGGGCCUGUACUGACGCUCAUGCACGAAAGCGUGGGGAGCAAACAGGAUUAGAUACCCCCGUAGUCCCUGUCUCUUAUAC
rnacentral:rRNA from 1 species